rnacentral:rRNA from 1 species
UACGUAGGGUGCGAGCGUUAAUCGGAAUUACUGGGCGUAAAGCGUGCGCAGGCGGUUUGCUAAGACCGAUGUGAAAUCCCCGGGCUUAACCUGGGAACUGCAUUGGUGACUGGCAGGCUAGAGUAUGGCAGAGGGGGGUAGAAUUCCACGUGUAGAAGUGAAAUGCGUAGAGAUGUGGAGGAAUACCGAUGGCGAAGGCAGCCCCCUGGGCCAAUACUGACGCUCAUGCACGAAAGCGUGGGGAGCAAACAGG